GCGGANCGAGUUAUCUGAACCUUCGGGGGACGAUAACGGCGUCGAGCGGCGGACGGGUGAGUAAUGCCUAGGAAAUUGCCCUGAUGUGGGGGAUAACCAUUGGAAACGAUGGCUAAUACCGCAUGAUGCCUACGGGCCAAAGAGGGGGACCUUCGGGCCUCUCGCGUCAGGAUAUGCCUAGGUGGGAUUAGCUAGUUGGUGAGGUAAGGGCUCACCAAGGCGACGAUCCCUAGCUGGUCUGAGAGGAUGAUCAGCCACACUGGAACUGAGACACGGUCCAGACUCCUACGGGAGGCAGCAGUGGGGAAUAUUGCACAAUGGGCGCAAGCCUGAUGCAGCCAUGCCGCGUGUGUGAAGAAGGCCUUCGGGUUGUAAAGCACUUUCAGUCGUGAGGAAGGUGGUGUAGUUAAUAGCUGCAUUAUUUGACGUUAGCGACAGAAGAAGCACCGGCUAACUCCGUGCCAGCAGCCGCGGUAAUACGGAGGGUGCGAGCGUUAAUCGGAAUUACUGGGCGUAAAGCGCAUGCAGGUGGUUUGUUAAGUCAGAUGUGAAAGCCCGGGGCUCAACCUCGGAAUAGCAUUUGAAACUGGCAGACUAGAGUACUGUAGAGGGGGGUAGAAUUUCAGGUGUAGCGGUGAAAUGCGUAGAGAUCUGAAGGAAUACCGGUGGCGAAGGCGGCCCCCUGGACAGAUACUGACACUCAGAUGCGAAAGCGUGGGGAGCAAACAGGAUUAGAUACCCUGGUAGUCCACGCCGUAAACGAUGUCUACUUGGAGGUUGUGGCCUUGAGCCGUGGCUUUCGGAGCUAACGCGUUAAGUAGACCGCCUGGGGAGUACGGUCGCAAGAUUAAAACUCAAAUGAAUUGACGGGGGCCCGCACAAGCGGUGGAGCAUGUGGUUUAAUUCGAUGCAACGCGAAGAACCUUACCUACUCUUGACAUCCAGAGAACUUUCCAGAGAUGGAUUGGUGCCUUCGGGAACUCUGAGACAGGUGCUGCAUGGCUGUCGUCAGCUCGUGUUGUGAAAUGUUGGGUUAAGUCCCGCAACGAGCGCAACCCUUAUCCUUGUUUGCCAGCGAGUAAUGUCGGGAACUCCAGGGAGACUGCCGGUGAUAAACCGGAGGAAGGUGGGGACGACGUCAAGUCAUCAUGGCCCUUACGAGUAGGGCUACACACGUGCUACAAUGGCGCAUACAGAGGGCGGCCAACUUGCGAAAGUGAGCGAAUCCCAAAAAGUGCGUCGUAGUCCGGAUUGGAGUCUGCAACUCGACUCCAUGAAGUCGGAAUCGCUAGUAAUCGUGGAUCAGAAUGCCACGGUGAAUACGUUCCCGGGCCUUGUACACACCGCCCGUCACACCAUGGGAGUGGCUUU
rnacentral:rRNA from 1 species